rnacentral:rRNA from 1 species
AUACGGAGGAUCCGAGCGUUAUCCGGAUUUAUUGGGUUUAAAGGGUGCGCAGGCGGCCAUUUAAGUCAGCGGUUAAAUCGUGGGGCUCAACCCCAUUCUGCCGUUGAUACUGGGGGGCUUGAUUGCGGUCGAGGUUGGCGGAAUUCGUUGUGUAGCGGUGAAAUGCAUAGAUAUGACGAAGAACGCCGAUUGCGUAGGCAGCUGACCAGACCGCAAAUGACGCUCAUGCACGAAAGUGCGGGGAUCGAACAGGAUUAGAUACCCUGGUAGUCCGCACAGUAAACGAUGAAUACUUGUUUUCGGCGAUAUAAUGUCGGAGGCAAAGCGAAAGCGAUAAGUAUUCCACCUGGGGAGUACGCCGGCAACGGUGAAACUUAAAGGAAUUGACGGGG